GUCAUGGACCAGUGGUGAAGAGCCUCGAGAGUGAAGGUUAAUUUUUCGAAAGGAGAAGUCCACUAUUUCAGCUUCAUCAUUCAGCCUGGAAACUGAACUGCAUCAUAAAACUUGUGCUUGAAAAGUGUCAUGGGACCCAUAUUAAGUUUCCAAAUUUGAUCUGCUGCACACAAGUAGCUUUGAAGAAGAAGGAUCCCAGCUUAAAGAAAAACACGUCACAUCCAUAAUUGUUUGACAUCAUCUUCAAGCACACCUGGAUUUCUUGUUGCAAUGUCUUCAAAACAAAUGUAAAAAUGAAAGGAUUUCAGUGGUAAACUCAUAAUGAUGGGAUCAAAAGGAAGUGAACUGGACUCUGAGGGACCUAACACAAGAUUGUGAUGGACCUAGAAUGCGACACCGUUUACGAAUAAGUCAAGAACCAAAUGAAACACUAUUUUCCAGAGUACAGAUUAUGGAGGGGUCUGCGAAAUGGAGCAGUUUCUUCUUCUUGGAGUGCCACAGCUUGAUACUGCAUAUAAGGACUUAGUGAAGAACACAGAAACAUCUUUAAAAGAAAUGGCCCAAUAGAAGGGAAGGAAAGAAGGAAGUACUCAGCAUUGAAAUAUUGUUUUACAGAAAUCCAAAGGUCCUAACAGCUCUCCUGAUUGCGUCAAGGCUUCACUAUCCUCGCUCACUAUCCUUCUGCUCCCUCAUUUAUCAGAGGCACCACAGUAGAAUGAAUUAACAAUUACUCUUCACUCACUGUGGCCAAUUCACCAAUACCGUACGCAUGCCUUUGGACUGUGGGGGCAACUGGAGCACCCAGAGGAAACUCAAACAAACACUGGGAGAACUUUCAAACUUCACACAGAAACACCAACUGACCCAGUCAGGACUCGAACCAGUGACCUUCUUGCUGUGAUGUGACAGUUUUAACCAGUGAGCCACUGUGCCACCCAUGGACAAAACUAUUUACGUUAUGAGAGGCCGGCAAACAUGGACAUGCUACAGGUUGUGGAAUGGCUGUUCUCAGUGUUUUGUCUAAUAAUUUUGCAAAGUUUUGGGUGCGAUUAAGCUCUUUGUUCAAUAACUUUUUUGAAAAUUAUAUAUAAAAAUGGAUGUUGCCCUGACCAAUACAUACAUGUACCGUCAACUUGUUGAAAUUGUAGUGUUAUUUAAUGGAUGUUUGUGUAUUGUUUCUAUCUGCAUUGUAAUACAUUUUUCAUCACUUUAGAGAUGUUUGAAAGUUAAGUUUUGCGUUUGUUCAAUCAGUAAGCAAGCUUACAAAUGUUUGUUAUUAAGUGAAAUCAUUAGAACUAGAUUGUUGAAUGCCAUUAAGCUGUUAAUUAUGUUUACUAACUAAAUAGUAAAAAUGUAUAAUGUUUAGAGGUAGAUCUUAUACAAAGUACGCAGAGGUGCAAUUUUAAAUAUUAUCUAAAACUUAUUUUG